GGUUAAGCGACUAAGCGUACACGGUGGAUGCCCUGGCAGUCAGAGGCGAUGAAGGACGUGCUAAUCUGCGAUAAGCGUCGGUAAGGUGAUAUGAACCGUUAUAACCGGCGAUUUCCGAAUGGGGAAACCCAGUGUGAUUCGUCACACUAUCAUUAACUGAAUCCAUAGGUUAAUGAGGCGAACCGGGGGAACUGAAACAUCUAAGUACCCCGAGGAAAAGAAAUCAACCGAGAUUCCCCCAGUAGCGGCGAGCGAACGGGGAGCAGCCCAGAGCCUGAAUCAGUGUGUGUGUUAGUGGAAGCGUCUGGAAAGGCGUGCGAUACAGGGUGACAGCCCCGUACACAAAAAUGCACAUACUGUGAGCUCGAUGAGUAGGGCGGGACACGUGGUAUCCUGUCUGAAUAUGGGGGGACCAUCCUCCAAGGCUAAAUACUCCUGACUGACCGAUAGUGAACCAGUACCGUGAGGGAAAGGCGAAAAGAACCCCGGCGAGGGGAGUGAAAAAGAACCUGAAACCGUGUACGUACAAGCAGUGGGAGCACGCUUAGGCGUGUGACUGCGUACCUUUUGUAUAAUGGGUCAGCGACUUAUACUCUGUAGCAAGGUUAACCGAAUAGGGGAGCCGAAGGGAAACCGAGUCUUAACUGGGCGUUAAGUUGCAGGGUAUAGACCCGAAACCCGGUGAUCUAGCCAUGGGCAGGUUGAAGGUUGGGUAACACUAACUGGAGGACCGAACCGACUAAUGUUGAAAAAUUAGCGGAUGACUUGUGGCUGGGGGUGAAAGGCCAAUCAAACCGGGAGAUAGCUGGUUCUCCCCGAAAGCUAUUUAGGUAGCGCCUCGUGAAUUCAUCUCCGGGGGUAGAGCACUGUUUCGGCAAGGGGGUCAUCCCGACUUACCAACCCGAUGCAAACUGCGAAUACCGGAGAAUGUUAUCACGGGAGACACACGGCGGGUGCUAACGUCCGUCGUGAAGAGGGAAACAACCCAGACCGCCAGCUAAGGUCCCAAAGUCAUGGUUAAGUGGGAAACGAUGUGGGAAGGCCCAGACAGCCAGGAUGUUGGCUUAGAAGCAGCCAUCAUUUAAAGAAAGCGUAAUAGCUCACUGGUCGAGUCGGCCUGCGCGGAAGAUGUAACGGGGCUAAACCAUGCACCGAAGCUGCGGCAGCGACGCUUAUGCGUUGUUGGGUAGGGGAGCGUUCUGUAAGCCUGUGAAGGUGUGCUGUGAGGUAUGCUGGAGGUAUCAGAAGUGCGAAUGCUGACAUAAGUAACGAUAAAGCGGGUGAAAAGCCCGCUCGCCGGAAGACCAAGGGUUCCUGUCCAACGUUAAUCGGGGCAGGGUGAGUCGACCCCUAAGGCGAGGCCGAAAGGCGUAGUCGAUGGGAAACAGGUUAAUAUUCCUGUACUUGGUGUUACUGCGAAGGGGGGACGGAGAAGGCUAUGUUGGCCGGGCGACGGUUGUCCCGGUUUAAGCGUGUAGGCUGGUUUUCCAGGCAAAUCCGGAAAAUCAAGGCCGAGGCGUGAUGACGAGGCACUACGGUGCUGAAGCAACAAAUGCCCUGCUUCCAGGAAAAGCCUCUAAGCAUCAGGUAACAUCAAAUCGUACCCCAAACCGACACAGGUGGUCAGGUAGAGAAUACCAAGGCGCUUGAGAGAACUCGGGUGAAGGAACUAGGCAAAAUGGUGCCGUAACUUCGGGAGAAGGCACGCUGAUACGUAGGUGAAGCGACUUGCUCGUGGAGCUGAAAUCAGUCGAAGAUACCAGCUGGCUGCAACUGUUUAUUAAAAACACAGCACUGUGCAAACACGAAAGUGGACGUAUACGGUGUGACGCCUGCCCGGUGCCGGAAGGUUAAUUGAUGGGGUUAGCGCAAGCGAAGCUCUUGAUCGAAGCCCCGGUAAACGGCGGCCGUAACUAUAACGGUCCUAAGGUAGCGAAAUUCCUUGUCGGGUAAGUUCCGACCUGCACGAAUGGCGUAAUGAUGGCCAGGCUGUCUCCACCCGAGACUCAGUGAAAUUGAACUCGCUGUGAAGAUGCAGUGUACCCGCGGCAAGACGGAAAGACCCCGUGAACCUUUACUAUAGCUUGACACUGAACAUUGAGCCUUGAUGUGUAGGAUAGGUGGGAGGCUUUGAAGUGUGGACGCCAGUCUGCAUGGAGCCGACCUUGAAAUACCACCCUUUAAUGUUUGAUGUUCUAACGUGGACCCGUGAUCCGGGUUGCGGACAGUGUCUGGUGGGUAGUUUGACUGGGGCGGUCUCCUCCUAAAGAGUAACGGAGGAGCACGAAGGUUGGCUAAUCCUGGUCGGACAUCAGGAGGUUAGUGCAAUGGCAUAAGCCAGCUUGACUGCGAGCGUGACGGCGCGAGCAGGUGCGAAAGCAGGUCAUAGUGAUCCGGUGGUUCUGAAUGGAAGGGCCAUCGCUCAACGGAUAAAAGGUACUCCGGGGAUAACAGGCUGAUACCGCCCAAGAGUUCAUAUCGACGGCGGUGUUUGGCACCUCGAUGUCGGCUCAUCACAUCCUGGGGCUGAAGUAGGUCCCAAGGGUAUGGCUGUUCGCCAUUUAAAGUGGUACGCGAGCUGGGUUUAGAACGUCGUGAGACAGUUCGGUCCCUAUCUGCCGUGGGCGCUGGAGAACUGAGGGGGGCUGCUCCUAGUACGAGAGGACCGGAGUGGACGCAUCACUGGUGUUCGGGUUGUCAUGCCAAUGGCACUGCCCGGUAGCUAAAUGCGGAAGAGAUAAGUGCUGAAAGCAUCUAAGCACGAAACUUGCCCCGAGAUGAGUUCUCCCUGACCCUUUAAGGGUCCUGAAGGAACGUUGAAGACGACGACGUUGAUAGGCCGGGUGUGUAAGCGCAGCGAUGCGUUGAGCUAACCGGUACUAAUGAACCGUGAGGCUUAACCUUACAACGCCGAAG
rnacentral:rRNA from 1 species